rnacentral:rRNA from 1 species
CACCGAAGCUGCGGCAGCGACGUUUAUGCGUUGUUGGGUAGGGGAGCGUUCUGUAAGCCUGCGAAGGUGGCCUGUGAGGGUUGCUGGAGGUAUCAGAAGUGCGAAUGCUGACAUAAGUAACGAUAAAGCGGGUGAAAAGCCCGCUCGCCGGAAGACCAAGGGUUCCUGUCCAACGUUAAUCGGGGCAGGGUGAGUCGACCCCUAAGGCGAGGCCGAAAGGCGUAGUCGAUGGGAAACGGGUUAAUAUUCCCGUACUUGGUGUUACUGCGAAGGGGGGACGGAGAAGGCUAUGUUGGCCGGGCGACGGUUGUCCCGGUUUAAGCGUGUAGGUGUGUGUUCCAGGUAAAUCCGGUUCACUUUAACACUGAGGCGUGAUGACGAGGCACUACGGUGCUGAAGCAACAAAUGCCCUGCUUCCAGGAAAAGCCUCUAAGCAUCAGGUAACAUCAAAUCGUACCCCAAACCGACACAGGUGGUCAGGUAGAGAAUACCAAGGCGCUUGAGAGAACUCGGGUGAAGGAACUAGGCAAAAUGGUGCCGUAACUUCGGGAGAAGGCACGCUGACACGUAGGUGAAGUGAUUUACUCAUGGAGCUGAAGUCAGUCGAAGAUACCAGCUGGCUGCAACUGUUUAUUAAAAACACAGCACUGUGCAAACACGAAAGUGGACGUAUACGGUGUGACGCCUGCCCGGUGCCGGAAGGUUAAUUGAUGGGGUCAGCGCAAGCGAAGCUCCUGAUCGAAGCCCCGGUAAACGGCGGCCGUAACUAUAACGGUCCUAAGGUAGCGAAAUUCCUUGUCGGGUAAGUUCCGACCUGCACGAAUGGCGUAAUGAUGGCCAGGCUGUCUCCACCCGAGACUCAGUGAAAUUGAACUCGCUGUGAAGAUGCAGUGUACCCGCGGCAAGACGGAAAGACCCCGUGAACCUUUACUAUAGCUUGACACUGAACAUUGAGCCUUGAUGUGUAGGAUAGGUGGGAGGCUUUGAAGUGUGGACGCCAGUCUGCAUGGAGCCGACCUUGAAAUACCACCCUUUAAUGUUUGAUGUUCUAACGUGGACCCGUUACCCGGGUUGCGGACAGUGUCUGGUGGGUAGUUUGACUGGGGCGGUCUCCUCCUAAAGAGUAACGGAGGAGCACGAAGGUUGGCUAAUCCUGGUCGGACAUCAGGAGGUUAGUGCAAUGGCAUAAGCCAGCUUGACUGCGAGCGUGACGGCGCGAGCAGGUGCGAAAGCAGGUCAUAGUGAUCCGGUGGUUCUGAAUGGAAGGGCCAUCGCUCAACGGAUAAAAGGUACUCCGGGGAUAACAGGCUGAUACCGCCCAAGAGUUCAUAUCGACGGCGGUGUUUGGCACCUCGAUGUCGGCUCAUCACAUCCUGGGGCUGAAGUAGGUCCCAAGGGUAUGGCUGUUCGCCAUUUAAAGUGGUACGCGAGCUGGGUUUAGAACGUCGUGAGACAGUUCGGUCCCUAUCUGCCGUGGGCGCUGGAGAACUGAGGGGGGCUGCUCCUAGUACGAGAGGACCGGAGUGGACGCAUCACUGGUGUUCGGGUUGUCAUGCCAAUGGCACUGCCCGGUAGCUAAAUGCGGAAGAGAUAAGUGCUGAAAGCAUCUAAGCACGAAACUUGCCCCGAGAUGAGUUCUCCCUGAGACUUUAGGUCUCCUGAAGGAACGUUGAAGACGACGACGUUGAUAGGCCGGGUGUGUAAGCGCAGCGAUGCGUUGAGCUAACCGGUACUAAUGAACCGUGAGGCUUAACCUUACAACGCCGAAG